ensembl:miRNA
CAGGAUAGUUGCUGCGAAUGUUCCUCUCUGUGCUCCCAUUUGGAACCGUCCCGAAGCGAAAAGGAGGAUAAUGCUCCUGUGGUUUUUGAAACUGCAGAGACACAGCAGAUGA